AACGAACGCUGGCGGCGGGGCUUAGGCAUGCAAGUCGAGCGAGAAAGGGGCAACCCAAGUAAAGCGGCGUAAGGGUGAGUAAUGGGUAGCUAACGUACCCUCCAGACGCGAAUAAUUUCCCGAAAGGGAUUGUAAUGCGCGAUGAGACCACGGCUUCUUCGGGAGCAGGGGUCAAAGGCCAGGGAUCCUUCGGGACCUGACGGCUGGGGGAGCGGGCGACCUCCGAUUAGCUAGUUGGCGGGGUAACGGCCCACCAAGGCGAUGAUCGGUAGCCGGGCUGAGAGGCUGUCCGGCCACACUGGCACUGAGACACUGGCCAGACUCCUACGGGAGGCUGCAGUCGCGAAUUUUUCACAAUGGGCGCAAGCCUGAUGAAGCCACGCCGUGUGCGGGAUGAAGGCUCUUUGAGUUGUAAACCGCUGUCAAGUGGGGGGAAACGUAUGGUGUUAACAGCGCCAUGCUUGACUGCCCGCUAAAGGAAGCCCCGGCAAAACAUGUGCCAGCAGCCGCGGUAAUACAUGUGGGGCAAGCGUUGUUCGGAAUCACUGGGCAUAAAGGGUGCGUAGGCGGCUUGUUAAGUCAGGGGUGAAAUCCCACGGCCCAACCGUGGAACUGCCUUUGAUACUGAUGAGCUUGAGUGCGUGAGGGGUAACCGGAACGAGUAGUGUAGCGGUGAAAUGCGUAGAUAUUACUCGGAAGGCCAAAGGCGAAGGCAGGUUACUGGUACGCAACUGACGCUGAGGCACGAAAGCGUGGGGAGCAAACAGG
rnacentral:rRNA from 1 species